rnacentral:rRNA from 1 species
UACAGAGGGGGCAAGCGUUAUUCGGAAUUAUUGGGCGUAAAGGGUGCGUAGGCGGCGGGGAAAGUCUGAUGUGAAAUCCUGGGGCUCAACCCUGGAACUGCAUUGGAUACUUCCUUGCUAGAGUACUGGAGAGGAAACUGGAAUUUACGGUGUAGCGGUGGAAUGCGUAGAGAUCCGGAGGAAGACCGGUGGCGAAGGCGGCCUGCUGGGCAGUUACUGACACUGAGGCGCGACAGCGUGGGGAGCAAACAGG